UCGUUUCGCAUUUCCCCGCUCUUGUGUGUUAUCUAGGACUCAAUUCCAUCUUUGUCGCUUAGUCUCUCUAUCAUCGGCUCCGAGCUCUCCUCUCUCUCUGUAACUGAGAAAAAGAUGGACGCUUUACUCUUCCGAGUUAAGCUUGAAGUGAUUGAAGACAACAAUGUCUAGUCGUUGGAACCAAUCGGAGAAGAGGAACAACAAGUCGUCCGAAACUGUUUCAAUUGCUGAGUACAAGACUUUGACAGACAAGAAUGAGCGUCUGGUGUUAGAGAACGAGAGUCUAACCCAAACGAUUGAGCUUCUAGAGAAAACGCAUGGUUUCACUGUUGAUGAUAUUGUGGAAAAGCAAGGACGAGAAUUGCAGAGGAAGGAAGAGAUUGCACAACAAGUUUGGUGAAAUGCAGAAGAUGCUACAGACCGUCGAAAAGGAUAUCAAAUUCAUAAUGUCUGUUGAUGAUGAUGAUAUCACUGAGAUGAAGGGUGGUGGUGAGGCUUCAGGUAGUGCAAGACCUGUAAAAAAACCUAAGCUGGACGCAAAAGAAGAUGUGAUAAUGCUUAGUGACGAUGAAGAGGGAAAUCAAAGCAAUGGAAGGCACAGUAACUCAUCAGAUCAGGACCCCUUCAUAUCUAUGUGAUCAAGAUGUGGAAUCAAUUUAAGAGCUCGGAAGUGUUGAAACUAAAAACUUGAAAUCUUUUUUUUUUUUUUAAGUUGGUUCCUGUUGCUUUUAUUUCUACAUAUAUGACUAUGAAUAGCCUCUCCCCUGCAUGUUCUUGUUAUUGGCUCCGAGUUUGGAGAUUAAGACAUUAAUUUUUUUGUGUAUGGUAAGUGAAUUUAGCCUGACAUAAGGUAGUAAC